UGGGGAAUAUUCCGCAAUGGGCGCAAGCCUGACGGAGCAAGACCGCGUGAGGGAGGAAGGCUCUUGGGUUGUAAACCUCAAAAAAUCGGGAAGAAAAAAUGACGGUACCGAAAAUUAAGCAUCGGCUAACUCCGUGCCAGCAGCCGCGGUAAUACGGAGGAUGCAAGCGUUAUCCGGAAUCAUUGGGCGUAAAGAGUCCGUAGGUGGUUAUUCAAGUCGGCGGUCAAAGGCCAGAGCUAAACUCAGGAAAGGCCGUGGAAACUGAAAAACUAGAGUAGAAGAGGGGUAAAGGGAAUUCCCUGUGUAGCGGUGAAAUGCGUAGAGAUAGGGAAGAACACCUGUGGCGAAAGCGCUUUACUAGACUCAAACUGACACUAAGGGACGAAAGCUAAGGGAGCGAAAGGG
rnacentral:rRNA from 1 species